CUUUUACAAGUUAACCACCAUCAACAUGGUAAUCCAAUCAAGCUUUCAUACAAAAGAAAAUGCAAGUGGGAUUAUUUCCCUUAUUUUUCCAUAGUACUAAUAAAAAAACUUAAAUAUGAUGAAAUUCGGAAUAGAGAGAUUGGACUAUAAUAAAUUAGUACUAGUAAUAUAACUAUUAUAAAUUAAAGAAAUUCCAUCUUUAUCCCGCAGAGACUUUUGAACACCAAUGUCAAGGCUGCACGAAAUCGAUCUAUUGGAACAGAAGACUCUUGUCUUUUUGUAUCUCUCUAUAUAUUUACACACACAAAGUAAUAUCAGUAUCUAGAGAGAUUUAAAGAUCAAGUUUUAAAUAAGAAAUGGCUGUAGGGGAUGAUGUAUCUUCGAUGAGAACAACGACGUUAGUCGCUCCAACAAGACCCACGAUCACAGUUCCUCAGAGACCACCGGCGAUCGAAACGGCGGCGUACUUUUUAGGAGGUGGAGAUGGUCUUAGUCUAAGCCCAGGCCCACUUUCUUUUGUGUCGUCUUUGUUCGUUGAUAGCUUCCCUGACCUCUUGACUCCGGAUAAUCAAAGGACAACAUCAUUUUCUCAGCUUCUCGCCGGAGCUAUGUCGGUGUCUCCCGGUAGUGGACGUUCUACGGCGGGGAUGAUCGCCGGUGGAGGACCGUUGUUUACAAUUCCUUCUGGUUUCAGCCCUUCUAGUCUUCUCACCUCUCCAAUGUUCUUUCCUCCUCAGCAGUCACCUACUCAAACCGUCUUUGUUCAACCGCAGUCGCAACCAAAACGACCAGACUCAUUUCCUAACCAAAUGCCGCCAUCGACAUCCACGACCGUUCAUGGCCGUCGAUCAUGUAAAGCUCCGCAAGCCGAUCGUUAUAAUAAUCCGGCGGCGAAUAACAACAAUACUAACCGGUCUUAUAAUGUGGUGCACGUUGAUAAACCGGCGGAUGACGGCUAUAACUGGAGGAAGUACGGCCAAAAGCCUAUAAAAGGGUGUGAAUAUCCGAGGAGUUAUUAUAGAUGCACACAUGUUAAUUGUCCGGUUAAGAAGAAAGUUGAACGGUCAUCAGAUGGACAGAUCACUCAGAUCAUUUACAAAGGUCAACAUGACCACGAGAGGCCUCAGAACCGCCGUGGCGGUGGUGGUGAACUUAGAGGUUCCGGCGAAAUUGGUGAUAUUCAUUACAUUGGUGGUGUAGGACAUAUGGAGUCUAGUGAUGAUAGCGGUUAUGCUAAUGAUCAUGACAAUGAUAAUGAUGAUGACAAUGAAGAUAUUCCAGCUUCAAAGAUAAGAAAAAUUGACGGAGGUGUGUCGACAACUCACCGUUCCGUGACCGAGCCAAAGAUCAUCGUUCAGACAAGAAGUGAAGUCGACCUCCUCGACGAUGGUUAUAGGUGGCGCAAGUACGGACAAAAGGUUGUCAAAGGAAACCCCCAUCCGAGGAGCUACUAUAAGUGUACAACUGCGAAUUGUACGGUACGUAAACAUGUAGAGAGAGCUUCUACGGAUGUGAAGGCUGUCAUUACAACUUAUGAAGGUAAACAUAACCAUGACGUCCCUGCCGCUAGAAAUGGCACCGCCCCAGCAACCCCAGCCACAGCGGGUACGUCCGAUCACCAUCGGAUCGUCCUCCCUGCGUUGGACCCGUUUACCCGUCCCGGUCGAUCCUCACGCCGCCCGGAAACUUUCUGACAAUUAGUUCAUCCAUCAUGGGUUGCUUCAACUCCAAGCAUUCUUCUCCUCCUCCACGCCCUAUCCGCCGCCGUUCAGACACAGCCGCCAACCGAGGCCAUCCCCAAAACACCCACAAACCCUAUGUUCUUCCCACUCCGCCAUCUCACCGCCGUGUCGUCAACUCAUCUCCUAAAAAACAUCACAAUAAUGACGAUGACGCUCCAAGAUCGAAGACGACCGGAGUUAGCCAUAGAUCGGGAUUGCCGCAUGGAAAUGUAGAGGUUGAGCAGGUGGCUGCUGGUUGGCCAUCAUGGCUAACCUCCGCCUCACCAGAGGCCGUUCAUGGGUUGGUCCCGUUACGUGCAGAGGACUUCGAGAAAAGAGAGAAGAUUGGACAAGGGACGUAUAGCAACGUGUUCCGGGCUUGUGAGAUAUCGACGGGACGAGUCAUGGCUCUAAAGAAAAUAAGGGUUCAAAACUUUGACACAGAAAACAUAAGAUUCAUAGCAAGAGAAAUCAUGAUUUUGAGAAGAUUAGAUCAUCCAAACAUCAUGAAACUCGAAGGUAUCAUCGCCUCACGGAACUCAAACAGCAUGUACUUUGUGUUUGAUUACAUGGAACAUGAUCUUGAAGGCUUAUGUUCAUCUCCUGACAUCAACUUCACCGAGGCACAGAUCAAAUGUUAUAUGCAGCAGCUUCUAUUGGCAGUAGAACAUUGUCAUUUACGAGGGAUCAUGCACAGAGACAUUAAAGCAGCAAACAUUCUGGUGAAUAACAAAGGAGUUUUGAAGCUAGCUGAUUUCGGACUAGCCAACAUUGUAACACCAAGAAACAAGAAUCAGUUAACAAGUCGGGUUGUGACGCUCUGGUACCGUGCACCCGAACUUCUAAUGGGUUCCACGAGUUAUAGCGUGUCGGUCGAUCUUUGGAGCGUCGGAUGUGUUUUCGCCGAGAUUCUUACCGGAAGACCACCUCUUAAAGGAAGAACAGAGAUUGAACAACUUCACAAGAUUUAUAAACUAUGUGGAUCACCAGAUGAAGAACUUUGGAGAAAUAACAAGCUUCAUCCUCAAACUAAAAUGUUUGGACAACAACAUCAAUAUGAAGGUUGUCUGAGAGAAACAUUUGAGGAGUUUCCAAAAACAGCAGUUAAUCUUCUGGAGAAUCUAUUUUCUAUUGAUCCAGAGAAACGGGGAACUGCCUCUUCUGCUCUCAUGUCAGAGUAUUUUAAUACAAAGCCUUACGCUUGUGAUCCAUCGACGUUACCUAAGUACCCUCCUAACAAAGAAAUGGAUGCUAAGUACCGUGAAGAACUUCAACGAAGGAGAAGAGCAACUAUAAAGAAAAGAGAUAACUUGGUAUCCAAGAAAACGGGGAAAUCACGUAGAACAAUCAAAGACCCUCUUAGCAAGUUACCAACCCAACAGGAAACGAAGAAAGAAGCCGAGACAGAGAUCACUCUCCAGACGCCAUCAGAGACAUCUCAAGCGACCACUCGAAGCGAGUUCCCGUACACUGCUCUAUCUCAAGCCACGGCGCCGGCAAGCGGGUUCGCAUGGGCUGGAGCGAAGAAGAGGAAAGAAAACGACGCAGCUUCGACGCUGACAUAUAAUCAGCCUGCAGGAUCUGCGAGCCACGUGAGUGGUAUGAGCAUGGCUUUUGCUAAGAACACAUUCGGGCUAACAAUAAACGAGGACAGACCAUUUCUUAGGCCACACGUUUCUUUAGACUCCUCUGGUGAUAUCUUGUUGUACCCUAACGUGCAUCACAAGAAAGAAGAAGAUAAUAUGAGUCAACUAAAUUCGGAUUUGAGGAAUGUUGGGGCGAAUCCAAAGAUUUUUCAAACCAAUGGGAUGAAUGAGAUAUUAAGGAGAACAGAAAGUGAUGCAAGAGUCGCUGUUCGAAGACCGCCACGGAUAGAAAGAGGUUAAUAACGAAAGAGAGAAAGCUUUACCAUUAUUCUUUUUAGCCAUGUUUUCACUUGGCAUCAUUUGUAGUCCAUAAAAUUUAAAAAAAAAUCUUUCACAAACAAACCAUGUUGGUCUGAAAAGCUUUUGAAAUGAUGAUUUUGUUUCUCUU